CUGCCAUUUCCUUUACACAGAUCAAGAUUGAACUUUCAAAGAAAUGAAUAUUUUGAUAGUCUCCACCACCGGUCACAACGAAAAUCCGGGUACCCCACCACCAGUUGCCACAACUACACCACCAGCAACCGCCAACCCCACCUCCGGCCACUCCCCUGUCACCUGACUCACCUCUACAUCCUCUCUUCCGACCACUGGCGCCACUCAGAUCCCAGCGCCCCACCACCGACGCCCAAACAAGAAAAAAAAGUUACAGAAUCUGAAACUAAUAAAUGGUUUUCAUUGGGGAGUAAAAGAAAAGGAAAUGUGAGGGUAUCAGCAAGAUUAUUUGCAUACACAGAUCAUUGGGUACGCAAGUGGCAACCAACUGCAGACUCAAGGUUCCUUUAUAAACACAAUAUAAGAUACAAUAUCAUUUCCUUUCGAAUUUAUCAAUUGUUGUCAUUCAAUAAUUGUAUUCUUCUAGAAGUAUAAAUAAGUCAACAAAAACAUUCUUCAUUUGUUUA